rnacentral:rRNA from 1 species
UGCAGUCGAACGAAGUAGCAAUACUUAGUGGCAGACGGGUGAGUAACAUGUGGGUAUCUACCCUUUGGCCUGGAAUAACACGAGGAAACUUGUGCUAAUACCGGAUAAGUCUUUACGGAGAAAGCUUUAUGCACCAUUGGAUGAGCCUGCACUUGAUUAGUUUGUUGGUGGGGUAAUGGCCUACCAAGGCUUUGAUCAAUAGCUGAUUUGAGAGGAUGAUCAGCCACAUUGGGACUGAGACACGGCCCAAACUCCUACGGGAGGCAGCAGUGGGGAAUCUUGCACAAUGGAGGAAACUCUGAUGCAGCGAUGCCGCGUGAGUGAAGAAGGCCUUUGGGUUGUAAAGCUCUUUCGUCGGGGAAGAAAAUGACUGUACCCGAAUAAGAAGGUCCGGCUAACUUCGUGCCAGCAGCCGCGGUAAUACGAAGGGACCUAGCGUAGUUCGGAAUUACUGGGCUUAAAGAGUUCGUAGGUGGUUGAAAAAGUUGGUGGUGAAAUCCCAGAGCUUAACUCUGGAACUGCCAUCAAAACUUUUCAGCUAGAGUAUGAUAGAGGAAAGCAGAAUUUCUAGUGUAGAGGUGAAAUUCGUAGAUAUUAGAAAGAAUACCAAUUGCGAGGGCAGCUUUCUGGAUCAUUACUGACACUGAGGAACGAAAGCAUGGGUAGCGAAGAGGAUUAGAUACCCUCGUAGUCCAUGCCGUAAACGAUGUGUGUUAGACGUUGGAAAUUUAUUUUCAGUGUCGCAGCGAAAGCGAUAAACACACCGCCUGGGGAGUACGACCGCAAGGUUAAAACUCAAAUGAAUUGACGGGGACCCGCACAAGUAGUGGAGCAUGUGGUUU